GGGUACGAUAAUGCCAGCACUAAAGCACCGGAUCCCCUCAGAACUCCGAUGUUAAGCGUGAUUUAGAGAGAGUUGUACUAGGAUGGGUGACCCCUUGGGAAGUCCUCGUGUUUCACUCC
rnacentral:rRNA from 15 species